CUUGUAGAAGCAUACACGCGACGUCUAGCGUACUGUGAAUUUUUACGUGUGUUUCAGUGAGUGAUUUUUUGUUGAAGUGGUAUUUUUUAUUUCUGUAAAAUGAAGAAUUUUCCUAAAGGGAAAACACCUUAAGCUUGCUGCAAACUGUAAAUGGAUUUCGCGAGUACGCUCUUUACGUUUAUCCCGAGGAUUUGCACCUUUUGAAGUCGGAUAUCGUACCAUCGCUGUCGUCGUUGCCAAACUAAGAUUGGUCUUCAUUGUCCACCGCUAUACAGACAGGACAGGGGGAAGCACGAAUAUCAAUGUAAAGUGAGACGGGUCUUGAACUGGGGGCAAUCUGGACAGUGCAUCGGCCAAUGGAUGACAGUUGGGGAAGAACCACCUUACGUCGAGAAUAUUUUGAAUGAAUGCAUAAGACCGAUAAAUAAAAUUCAACAGCGAUGACGAAUGAAAACACUCGAAAGAUGCUAACCGAUAACAUUUCGAGGUACGUGCUUCAAAUUCAACGACUCCGGAGAAUAUACAUAGAACCUGUAACCGGUGUUGUUAAAGGGA